rnacentral:rRNA from 1 species
GACGAACGCUGGCGGCGUGCUUAACACAUGCAAGUCGAGCGGAAAGGCCCUGCUUUUGCGGGGUGCUCGAGUGGCGAACGGGUGAGUAACACGUGAGUAACCUGCCCUUGACUUUGGGAUAACUUCAGGAAACUGGGGCUAAUACCGGAUAGGAGCUCCUGCUGCAUGGUGGGGGUUGGAAAGUUUCGGCGGUUGGGGAUGGACUCGCGGCUUAUCAGCUUGUUGGUGGGGUAGUGGCUUACCAAGGCUUUGACGGGUAGCCGGCCUGAGAGGGUGACCGGCCACAUUGGGACUGAGAUACGGCCCAGACUCCUACGGGAGGCAGCAGUGGGGAAUAUUGCACAAUGGGCGGAAGCCUGAUGCAGCAACGCCGCGUGCGGGAUGACGGCCUUCGGGUUGUAAACCGCUUUCGCCUGUGACGAAGCGUGAGUGACGGUAAUGGGUAAAGAAGCACCGGCUAACUACGUG